CCUACGGGAGGCAGCAGUGAGGAAUAUUGGUCAAUGGGCGGGAGCCUGAACCAGCCAAGCCGCGUGAAGGAAGAAGGCGCUAGGCGUCGUAAACUUCUUUUGUCGGGGAACAAAGGGCGCCACGUGUGGCGUUGUCAGUGUACCCGAAGAAAAAGCAUCGGCGAACUCCGUGCCAGCAGCCGCGGUAACACGGAGGUUGCGAGCGUUAUCCGGAUUUAUUGGGGUUAACGGGUGAGUAGGGGGUGCGGAAAGUCAGCGGUAAAAGCUCGGGGCUAAACCCCGGCGAGCCGUUGAAACUGUUGGACUAGAGAGGGCGAGAAGUACGCGGAAUGCGCGGUGUAGCGGUGAAAUGCAUAGAUAUCGCGCAGAACUCCGAUUGCGAAGGCAGCGUACCGGCGCCUGACUGACGCUGAGGCACGAAAGCGUGGGUAUCGAACAGGAUUAGAUACCCGAGUAGUC
rnacentral:rRNA from 1 species